rnacentral:rRNA from 1 species
AACGAACGCUGGCGGCAGGCUUAACACAUGCAAGUCGAACGCCCCGCAAGGGGAGUGGCAGACGGGUGAGUAACGCGUGGGAAUCUACCGUACCCUACGGAACAACAGUUGGAAACGACUGCUAAUACCGUAUACGCCCUACGGGGGAAAGAUUUAUCGGGGUAUGAUGAGCCCGCGUUGGAUUAGCUAGUUGGUGGGGUAAAGGCCUACCAAGGCGACGAUCCAUAGCUGGUCUGAGAGGAUGAUCAGCCACAUUGGGACUGAGACACGGCCAAAACCACAACGGGAGGAGGAAGGGAGGAAUUUGGGACAAUGGGCGAAGCCUUGAUGCACCCAUGCCGCGUGGGGGUAGAGGGUUUAGGGAUUGAAAGGCUUUUACCCCGGAGAAGAAAAUGACGGUACCGGAAGAGAAAGCCCCGGCAACUUUCGUGCCAGCCGCCGCAGAAA